GAUGAACGCUGGCGGCGUGCCUAAUACAUGCAAGUCGAGCGAACGGACGAGAAGCUUGCUUCUCUGAUGUUAGCGGCGGACGGGUGAGUAACACGUGGAUAACCUACCUAUAAGACUGGGAUAACUUCGGGAAACCGGAGCUAAUACCGGAUAAUAUUUUGAACCGCAUGGUUCAAAGGUGAAAGACGGUCUUGCUGUCACUUAUAGAUGGAUCCGCGCUGCAUUAGCUAGUUGGUAAGGUAACGGCUUACCGAGGCAACGAUGCAUAGCCGACCUGAGAGGGUGAUCGGCCACACUGGAACUGAGACACGGUCCAGACUCCUACGGGAGGCAGCAGUAGGGAAUCUUCCGCAAUGGGCGAAAGCCUGACGGAGCAACGCCGCGUGAGUGAUGAAGGUCUUCGGAUCGUAAAACUCUGUUAUUAGGGAAGAACAUAUGUGUAAGUAACUGUGCACAUCUUGACGGUACCUAAUCAGAAAGCCACGGCUAACUACGUG
rnacentral:rRNA from 1 species